rnacentral:piRNA from 1 species
UCCUCGCAGGGCAUGUGAUGGGAUAUGACU